CCUACGGGAGGCAGCAGUGGGGAAUCUUGCGCAAUGGGCGAAAGCCUGACGCAGCAACGCCGCGUGCGGGAUGACGGCCUUCGGGUUGUAAACCGCUUUCAGUGGGGACGAACCAAGACGGUACCCACAGAAGAAGCCCCGGCCAACUACGUGCCAGCAGCCGCGGUAACACGUAGGGGGCGAGCGUUGUCCGGAUUUAUUGGGCGUAAAGAGCUCGUAGGCGGUUCGAUAAGUCGGGUGUGAAACCUCCAGGCUCAACCUGGAGACGCCACCCGAUACUGUCGUGACUAGAGUCCAGUAGGGGAGCGUGGAAUUCCUGGUGUAGCGGUGAAAUGCGCAGAUAUCAGGAGGAACACCAGUGGCGAAGGCGGCGCUCUGGGCUGGAACUGACGCUGAGGAGCGAAAGCGUGGGGAGCGAACAGGAUUAGAUACCCUGGUAGUCCACGCCGUAAACGUUGGGUACUAGGUGUGGGGUCUUAUCAACGGAUUCCGUGCCGCAGCUAACGCAUUAAGUACCCCGCCUGGGGAGUACGGCCGCAAGGCUAAAACUCAAAGGAAUUAGACGGCGNGNGAAGUGCGACGACGACGACGAGGAGGAGG
rnacentral:rRNA from 1 species